GCGCUAUUUAUCAACGACUACCUGCUGGCGUCGUCAACAAUCUUCAAAGGAGCGACGGAAAGAAAACAUUUUCCAGUUUUAAAAUAUUAAGCCCCCGGUGAGGACGUCAUUACUUAACAGAAGCCGGUUCAACACGCGCAGCUCCUGUUCAUGACGUCAUCACGAAACUGAAGCUAGCUGAACACGCGCAGCACGGAUGGUACCCCGAGCGCAGUAGGAGGAAGGAAGAACGAGAGGAGAAAGAACGGUAAAUUUGGAAGGGGGAAAGCGCUCUGCCGUCUACACAGCGGGAGUAUGCCAAAACACUUGUGGGAAGGGAGAGGGAUAUUAUUCAAUAAACAGCAUGCAUGUGUGUGUAAAGCAAAUGUGAACAGCCUCAUCAUUUCUAUAAGCAAUCCGAAAAAGGGGGUGGAGCAAACACAUUGGUAUGCGUGAGCGGCUGAAGAAACCAGAACGUUUAGAUGUGUGCGUGACGGAUGGUUCGGGCGCCUGUGGCGAAGCUCUCGACAAGACUGCAAACGAGAGCUUUGUGGAGAGCUUUGUAGGGAGCUCAGAUUACACAGGCCGCCGUCGGUUUUUGCGUCCUUGGGUA